CUUGGCUUGAGUAGGUACUACGGUAUGUAGGCAAUCAGCAACUAAUGAAAAUUCGUAUUUACUCUUAAAUAAGUAGUCCUUGAUAUUUAUGGCUAUAUAUGUGUCAUGGCAAUUUAUGACAAUAUAGCCCCAGUCAUUUAUGUUGGCUAUGAUGAAUCAACGUGGGAAAGUGGUCUUGGUGGACAGUAAGGUGCAACUCAUUUCUUGCCGUAAUUUGGAGCUAAGUCAUUUAGAGCUUUGUGAGUAAGAAGGAGUAGCCUACUUUGACAUCAAUUCUACUUUUGACAGGGAGCCCGUGCAGAGAAGCAAGUACAGUUCACCAAUCUGCAGACAUCGUACACACAUUUUAUGGAUGUACCACAGGCUAACGAAUACCAAGGAUAAUACUCUGCAUCAAUAACUAAAGACCACCAGGGAGGGAGGAAAAGUCCUGCGGUACCCGUGAUGCACACGAAUAUGAAUAUCAACAGGAAGAUCCGGUCGAUGACCAUCGCCACAUACUUCCAUUCUUCUUUCACCUGAAAUGUAGAACAAGUAAGCAUGGAGACAGCGUGGAGUCACUUUAAAAAUGUUGAAAUCUUUUAUCAUUGUGCUAUUGCUAAAUGUAAAACAUAAGGAAAAUUAAAUAAACUCAAAGAAGCAUAGGCCUAUGCUACAUGAA